AGAAAGCUGCUACUUCAGAAAAUAAGAUCAUUUGCCGCGAAUGGAGAACAUCUCAGGCAGCCCUGAUGCUCCACCGUCCUUGCAGAGAGAAGCUUGCUCAGAGUGGUUACUGAAAACAGGAACCUGCCCUUCUGCAAGCCCUGUGCCUUCCUCGUUCCUAGCAGAGGAAGUAUGCGGCCAGUUUAGCAACUGCAGUUCUUCUGGGUAGCAUGGGCUGCUUCUCCACAACCGCGAGAGGCCCGGCUGCCUGUUUAUUCUGGAGCAGCAGCAGUUGACAGACGGAGAGGCAGUGACUCUGCACCCAGCAAUCCCUCUGCAGACAGCUCCCACAGGAGUCAUGCCCAGUGUGUGAAGGACUGGAUAGCGACUUCCUUGCCGUGCUAAGUGACUACCCGUCUCCUGACAUUAGCCCCCCGAUAUUCCGCCGAGGGGAGAAACUGCGUGUGAUUUCUGAUGAAGGGGGCUGGUGGAAAGCUAUUUCUCUUAGCACUGGUCGUGAGAGUUACAUCCCUGGAAUAUGUGUGGCCAGAGUUUACCAUGGCUGGCUGUUUGAGGGCCUGGGCAGAGACAAGGCCGAGGAGCUGCUGCAGCUGCCAGACACAAAGGUCGGCUCCUUCAUGAUCAGAGAG
rnacentral:sRNA from 1 species